CUGCUGCCUCCCGUAGGAGUCUGGUCCGUGUCUCAGUACCAGUGUGGGGGACCUUCCUCUCAGAACCCCUACGCAUCGUCGCCUCGGUGGGCCGUUACCCCGCCGACUAGCUAAUGCGACGCAUGGCCAUCCUAUGCCGGAGCCGCCUCCUUUGACCACCUGGAGAUGUCUCCAAAUGGUGUUAUGCGGUAUUAGACGGAAUUUCUUCCGCUUAUCCCCCUGCAUAGGGCAGGUUCCAUACGUGUUACUCA
rnacentral:rRNA from 1 species